rnacentral:rRNA from 1 species
UACGUAGGGUGCAAGCGUUGUCCGGAAUUAUUGGGCGUAAAGAGCUCGUAGGUGGCCUGUCGCGUCGGCUGUGAAAACUCGGGGCUCAACUCCGAGCUUGCAGUCGAUACGGGCAGGCUAGAGUUCGGCAGGGGAGACUGGAAUUCCUGGUGUAGCGGUGAAAUGCGCAGAUAUCGGGAGGAACACCAGUAGCGAAGGCGGCACUCUGGGCCGGUACUGACGCUGAGGAGCGAAAGCGUGGGGAGCAAACAGG